rnacentral:rRNA from 1 species
CCUACGGGAGGCAGCAGUGGGGGAUAUUGCACAAUGGGGGAAACCCUGAUGCAGCGACGCCGCGUGGGUGAAGAAGCGCCUCGGCGCGUAAAGCCCUGUCAGCAGGGAAGAAAAUGACGGUACCUGAAGAAGAAGCCCCGGCUAACUACGUGCCAGCAGCCGCGGUAAUACGUAGGGGGCCAGCGUUAUCCGGAUUUACUGGGGGUAAAGGGGGCGCAGACGGGGAUGCAAGCCAGGAGUGAAAGCCCGGGGCCCAACCCCGGGACUGCCCUUGAAACUGCGUGGCUAGAGUGCAGGAGGGGCAGGCGGAAUUCCUGGUGUAGCGGUGAAAUGCGUAGAUAUCAGGAGGAACACCGAUGGCGAAGGCGGCCUGCUGGACUGCAACUGACGUUGAGGCCCGAAAGCGUGGGGAGCAAACAGGAUUAGAUACCCCGGUAGUC